ACAACCAGAUCUCCUGAAAACUCUAUCAUGAGCCAGCACCAAGGGGAUGGUGGUAAACCAUUGGAAACCAUUCCCAUAACCCAAUCACUUCCCACCACACCCCACCUCCAACACUGGGGAUUACAACUCUACAUGAGAUUUGGGUGGGAGUAUAGAGCCAAACCAUAUCAAAAAGCGUAAUGUGCUGAGGGUAACCACCAGUUUACCCUUCUCCAUAUAUGACAGAAAUAGAGGAAAUAACCUAGAAGGCAAUGUAAAGGACUUAGGUUAGAAAUAAGAAAGAACUGGAAGAUUGUUUUUUAAGUUCUGGAAUGGUCUACCCAAGAAGCUGUAAGUGCGUAAAAAACAAAGCAGGAGAGUUAGUUACUCAUUUGACCAGAACAGUUUUAGUGCAAAUCUGUUAUACUAAAGCCAUUUCAGAAUAAGUACCUACCUUCUUGACCUGAUGGCUUAGAAUUUCACUCAGUUCUCACGUUGGGUGACUUUAAAUUAUCUAUGUCACUGUUGACCAUGGUGGAUAAUUGUCAUUUUCCUAAAUGUACAUUUGCUCUGGUGGUCAACUACUGCAUAUUAAAUCCCUAGAGAAGAGGCGUGCACUACAGUCAGACCUGCUUGAACAUUUAAGAUGAUAAAGAUCGAGCAAACCCAGUGACUCACCUUCUCCAUGCUAACUCCUCGCUAGCUCUCUGGCUCAUACACUCUCACACCCGGUUCAAGAUGGCGGCGGCGGCGGGAGACUCCGAAUCCUGAGAGGCAGACACAUUCUCCGUGGAAGACCCAGUGCAGAAGGUGUGGGGCGGCGGCACUGCCGGUGGGGACCGCUAGGAAGGCGAGGACUAGGACGAGGACGUCAAGGAUAACUGAUAACAAUGAUGACGUAAAAAAAGAAGCAGCAGAAGUAAAACCAGAGGUUAAAAGUUCAGAAAAGAGAAAAACAGCAGAGAAGAUAAAAGAGAAAGAACGGCAACAGAAGAAAAGGCCAGAAGAAAUUAAAAAGAGGUUAGAAGAACCUGAAGAACCUAAAGUGCUAACACCAGAAGAACAAUUAGCAGAUAAACUGGGGCUAAAUAAAUUACAGGAAGAGUCAGACCUCUAAUUAGCAAAGGAAACUUUUGGUGUUAAUAAUACAGUUUAUGGAAUAGAUGCUAUGAGCCCAUCUUCAAGAGAUGAUUUUACAGAGUUUGGAAAGUUACUAAAAGAUAGAAUUACACAAUAUGAAAGGUCACUAUAUGAUGCCUUUCUUUUUGGAAAUCUUAGUUCGAGAUGUGUGUAUUUCAUUGGAAAUUGAUGACUUGAAGAAGAUGACCAAUUCACUGAAAACAAAGCAAAACCAAAAAGAAGAAAGGUGUGGUUCCUGGAGGGGGAUAAAAGCCACCAGGAAAGAUGAUCUGGCAGAUUAUGGUGGUUAUGAUGGAGGAUAUGUACAAGACUAUGAAGACUUCAUGUGACAUUUUAUCUUUUCCUGGUGUCAUUUUGUUU